GGGGCUGAUCGGUUUCGACGCCGAUUGCUGUGAACGUUUCAUGCGACCAGAGUUGCUCAGACUCUAAAAACAGGGCAUCAAUAGAGACGCCAAUACGGAUGAUCUCGCUCUUGCCGCCUAAUUUUAUUAGGCAGUAAAGAGUCACUGGGACCAGUAAUGAUUCCCGGGGCCUGAUCACUACAGCCCGGCAACAGAAGUAGUGAUGGACCGCAGGGAGAGACCGCUGACGGCGAGAAAGACCGCUGACUUCAAGGAAAGUCUUGACGGUAAAGCCUUAGGGCUUAUCUGACCCGGCGGAAUGACUACCGUAAGUCAUAUUCUCGGGAAUGGUCGUAACGUGUGCGUUGACCUCUCGACGGACGCGGGUUCGAUUCCCGCCAGCUCCACCA
rfam:Marine actinobacterium MedAcidi-G2B MedDCM-JTLCOM-C107, whole genome shotgun sequence.